AACGAACGCUGGCGGCAGGCUUAACACAUGCAAGUCGAGCGCCCCGCAAGGGGAGCGGCAGACGGGUGAGUAACGCGUGGGAAUCUACCCAUCCCUACGGAAUAACGCAUGGAAACGUGUGCUAAUACCGUAUACGUCCUUCGGGAGAAAGAUUUAUCGGAGAUGGAUGAGCCCGCGUUGGAUUAGCUAGUUGGUGGGGUAAAGGCCUACCAAGACGACGAUCCAUAGCUGGGCUGAGAGGAUGAUCAGCCACACUAGGACUGAGACACGGACCAGACUUCUACGGGAGGCAGCGAUGGGGAAUAUUGGACAAUGGGCGCAAGCCUGGUCCAGCCAUGCCGCGUGAGUGAUGAAGGCCCUAGGGUUGUAAAGCUCUUUCACCGGUGAAGAUAAUGACGGUAACCGGAGAAGAAGCCCCGGCUAACUUCGUGCCAGCCGCCGCGGUAAGAC
rnacentral:rRNA from 1 species